GCGCCUUAUGCAUGCAAGUCGAGCGAAGCUUUUCAGUAGUUUACUACAGAAAAUGACUGAGCGGCGAACGGGUGAGUAACGCGUGAGCAAUCUACCUUAGUUACAGGGAUAGCCCGAGGAAACUCGGAUUAAUACCUGAUAUUCUUUACAUUUCGCAUGAAAUUAAAAGGAAAGGUCAGCCGAACUAAGAUGAGCUCGCGUUCUAUCAGCUAGUUGGUAAGGUAAAAGCUUACCAAGGCUACGACGGAUAGCUGGUCUGAGAGGACGAUCAGCCACACUGGGACUGAGACACGGCCCAGACUCCUACGGGAGGCUGCAGCAGGGAAUAUUGUGCAAUGAACGAAAGUUUGACACAGCGACACCGCGUGUGGGAUGACGGAUCUAGGUUUGUAAACCACUUUCAGGAGGGAAGAAAAUGACGGUACCUCCACAAGAAGCCCCGG
rnacentral:rRNA from 1 species